rnacentral:tRNA from 1 species
GGAGGGUUGGCAGAAUGGCUAAUGCGCUGGUCUUGAAAACCAGUGGGAGAAAUCCCUUGCAGGUUCGAGUCCUGCACCCUCCG